rnacentral:rRNA from 1 species
CAGGUCGAGCAAGGAUGAAAAUCGGACUUAGUGAUCCGGUGGUUCUGCGUGGAAGGGCCAUCGCUCAACGGAUAAAAGCUACCCUGGGGAUAACAGGCUUAUCUCCCCCAAGAGUCCACAUCGACGGGGAGGUUUGGCACCUCGAUGUCGGCUCAUCACAUCCUGGGGCUGUAGUAGGUCCCAAGGGUUGGGCUGUUCGCCCAUUAAAGUGGUACGCGAGCUGGGUUCAGAACGUCGUGAGACAGUUCGGUCCCUAUCCGUCGCAGGCGUAGGAAAUUUGAGAAGACCUGUCCUUAGUACGAGAGGACCGGGAUGGACGUACCUCUGGUGUACCAGUUGUCCUGCCAAGGGCAUGGCUGGGGAGCUAUGUACGGAAUGGAUAAGCGCUGAAAGCAUCUAAGCGCGAAGCCAACUUCAAGAUAAGAUUUCCCACCGCAAGGGUAAGACCCCAGAAAGACUAUCUGGUUGAUAGGUCGAAGGUGUAAGUGCAGUAAUGUAUUUAGCUUAUCGAUACUAAUAGGUCGAGGACUUGACCAAU